rnacentral:rRNA from 1 species
UGGUGAGGUAACGGCUCACCAAGGCAUCGACGGGUAGCUGGUCUGAGAGGAUGAUCAGCCACACUGGGACUGAGACACGGCCCAGACUCCUACGGGAGGCAGCAGUGGGGAAUAUUGCACAAUGGGCGCAAGCCUGAUGCAGCAACGCCGCGUGCGGGAAGACGGCCCUAGGGUUGUAAACCGCUUUCAGCAGGGAAGAAGAUGACGGUACCUGCAGAAGAAGGUGCGGCCAACUACGUGCCAGCAGCCGCGGUGACACGUAGGCACCAAGCGUUGUCCGGAUUUAUUGGGCGUAAAGAGCUCGUAGGCGGUUCAGUUAGUCGGGUGUGAAAACUCUGGGCUCAACCCAGAGAGGCCACCCGAUACUGCUGUGACUAGAGUGCGGUAGGGGAGCGGGGAAUUCCUGGUGUAGCGGUGAAAUGCGCAGAUAUCAGGAGGAACACCAGUGGCGAAGGCGCCGCUCUGGGCCGUAACUGACGCUGAGGAGCGAAAGCGUGGGUAGCAAACAGGAUUAGAUACCCUGGUAGUCCACGCCGUAAACGUUGGGCACUAGGUGUGGGUCUCAACCAACGAGAUCCGCGCCGUCGCUAACGCAUUAAGUGCCCCGCCUGGGGAGUACGG